CAUAUUGACUGAGUCAUUGGGCUCUAAGGAGCAUGGUGGACGUGUACGUGGCAUGGGUGGUUUUGUCUCUCAAUCACUAUAUUUCAAGACAGUGAAAGGGAAAGAGAAAAUUGCAAGUUCUCAAGUUGUAGAAGAUGACUCAAAAAGCAAAAGUUACAAAAAGGGUCAUAAUCACUUGAGAUCGUCCAUCAGAAGUGUUAACAUAGAUCUCUAUGCCGAUGAGGAUUUGGGCAACACACCUAUGAACGAAGAAGUGAAGGAGGAGAUUGUAGUUUACCUAUUCCAGUGAAGGGCAAGAUAGAGACUUUAAAUCAAGCAUUAGAUAUCUUUGGGAUGAAUGUGAUUGUGGAAGCAAGUUUUUUGUUAUGACCAAGCAAAAAUAACAUCACAUAUCAAGGAUCGUGAUCUUCGAUCCAGAAAUUUUGCCAACCAGUUAGAAGCGGCUACCUUGGAACAAAUAGUUCUAAUUCCGUAUAAUACUGGUUUUCAUUGGAUGUUGCAUGUCAUCGAUCUUCGAGAGAACUGUGUUUAUGUUUUGGACUCUCUUCAAAGUAAAGUUAACGAAGACAUCCAUGGAGUCAUAAAUGUGACUUAUGAUUUACUUCUUAUUUGACUUCAUUGUCUUCUAAUUCUAAUGUUUCCAAAUGUAUAGAGGAUUAAAAACAUGGCAAGCUAAGCAUGAUUUACAACAUUAUCGGUCAAAUCCGAAAUGGAAACCUAUAAAGUGUCCUCGUCAAUUGGAUUCGGUUGGGUGUGGGUAUUAUGUCCAAAAGUAUAUACAUGAAAUCGUGCAUAAUUCUAUUUAAUACAAAAAAGUGCAUAUACGCAAGAGGAGAUUGACGAGAUUUGAACAAAAUAUGCAAGCUUUGUUAGCCGAUUUGUGUAAGCUUUUACACUUUUUUUUGUAGUUUAUAAGUUACUAGUACUAAUACUAAUUGUUUUAAUAUAUAAGCUACGAGAUUCUAGUACUACUUGUUGUACAUACUUUAAUUUUCAGGUUUUCUGCUUGUAGUAGUUUAUGAAUAGGUGUUGUAUUGUAGUGUUUUAGGUGUUGACUUUAGAGUGUAUUUGUUGUAGUACUAUGUGGAAAGUGUGUAUUAGUGGAGGAAUUUGUUGUACACAUACUUUAAUACUUUACAUAUUAUUUACUUGAUUGAUAUGUGUA